GCAGUGGUGGUUCAGUAGUAGAAUUCUCACCUUCCACGUAGGGGAUCUGGGUUUAGUUCCCAGCCAAUACG
rnacentral:tRNA from 1 species